GAGGUUGGGGGGGAAGCAUCUACAUUUUCACAUCCUGCCUAUUUGGAGCAGCAAGCUGGAGGUGCGAGGGCCCAGAGCAAAAACACACACUGAGUACCUGGUCUCUGCCAGGAACUGUGUUAGGCACGAGGGAUGGGCCUUGGAGGAGACACAGGUAUUGUCCUUGAGAGUUUCCACUGGUGACCUUGGCUGUAAAGAGGAGAAAAUGCAGAAGUUCAUUUCUUGCCAAAUUGCUCUAGCUAGAACUUCUAGUACAAUGUUGAGGAGAUGAAACGGUGAAACCACGUAUCCUUCUCUUGUUCCUGAUCUUUGGGGGAAGGCUUUAGGUCUUUCGCCAUUAAGUAUGAUGUUAUUUGUGGAUUUUUCAUAAAUGCCCUUUAUCAGACUGAAGUAUAGCAGUGCAGUCACAACUUGCUGCAGGCUUGAACUCCUGGCCUCAAAUGAUUAUCCUGCCUCAGCCUUCCAAGUACCUAAGACUACAGAUGGAGUCUCGCUCUGUUGCCCAGGCUGGAGUGCAGUGGCCCUGAUCUCAGCUCACUGCAACCUCCACCUCCUGGGUUCAAGAAAUCCUCCUGCUUCAGCCUCCUGAGUAGCUGGGACUAUAGGCGCCUGCCACCACCAUGCCCAGAUAAUUUUUAUAUUUUUAGUAGAGCCAGGUUUCAUCAUGUUGGCCAGGCUGGUCUCGAACUUCUGACCUCGAGUGUUCCACCUGCCUCAGCCUCCCAAAGUGCUGGGAUUACAGGCGUGAGCCACCAUACCCGG
rnacentral:lncRNA from 10 species